rnacentral:miRNA from 1 species
GUACUGCUCCAGGCUCUCUGGCACACCUAUAUACUGCCGCAGCCUGGAGCAGACAC